UACGUAGGGUGCAAGCGUUAAUCGGAAUUACUGGGCGUAAAGCGUGCGCAGGCGGCUUUGCAAGACAGAUGUGAAAAUCCCCGGGCUUAACCUGGGAACUGCAUUUGUGACUGUAUGGCUGGAGUGCGGCAGAGGGGGAUGGAAUUCCGCGUGUAGCAGUGAAAUGCGUAGAUAUGCGGAGGAACACCGAUGGCGAAGGCAAUCCCCUGGGCCUGCACUGACGCUCAUGCACGAAAGCGUGGGGAGCAAACAGG
rnacentral:rRNA from 1 species